AUUGAACGCUGGCGGCAGGCCUAACACAUGCAAGUCGAACGAGCGGCGGACGUGUGAGUAAUGUCUGGGAAUCUGCCUGAUGGAGGGGGAUAACUACUGGAAACUGUCGCUAAUACCGCAUACCAUCAGAUGCGCCCAGAUGGGAUUAGCUUGUGGGUGGGGUAACGGCUCACCUAGGAGACGAUCCCUAGCUGGUCUGAGAGGAUGACCAGCCACACUGGAACUGAGACACGGUCCAGACUCCUACGGGAGGCAGCAGUGGGGAAUAUUGCACAAUGGGCGCAAGCCUGAUGCAGCCAUGCCGCGUGUAUGAAGAAGGCCUUCGGGUUGUAAAGUACUUUCAGCGGGGAGGCGUUACCCGCAGAAGAAGCACCGGCUAACUCCGUGCCAGCAGCCGCGGUAAUAC
rnacentral:rRNA from 1 species